rnacentral:rRNA from 1 species
UACGGGGGGGGCAAGCGUUGUUCGGAAUUACUGGGCGUAAAGGGCGCGUAGGCGGCCUACUAAGUCGGACGUGAAAUCCCUCGGCUCAACCGAGGAACUGCGUCCGAUACUGGCAGGCUGGAAUCCGGGAGAUGGAUGUGGAAUUCCAGGUGUAGCGGUGAAAUGCGUAGAUAUCUGGAGGAACACCGGUGGCGAAGGCGGCAUCCUGGACCGGUAUUGACGCUGAGGCGCGAAAGCUAGGGGAGCAAACGGG